UACGAAGGGGGCUAGCGUUGUUCGGAAUCACUGGGCGUAAAGCGCACGUAGGCGGAUCUUUAAGUCAGAGGUGAAAUCCCAAGGCUCAACCUUGGAACUGCCUUUGAUACUGGGGAUCUUGAGUCCGGGAGAGGUGAGUGGAACUGCGAGUGUAGAGGUGAAAUUCGUAGAUAUUCGCAAGAACACCAGUGGCGAAGGCGGCUCACUGGACUGGUAUUGACGCUGAGGUGCGAAAGCGUGGGGAGCAAACAGG
rnacentral:rRNA from 1 species